GGCCCGCUGGCGCAAUUGGAUAGCGCACCGGUUUUCUACCCUGGAGGUUCCUGAUUCGAGUUCAGGGCGGGCCACCA
rnacentral:tRNA from 1 species